rnacentral:rRNA from 1 species
ACGCUCGACACCUACGGGUGGCAGCAGUGGGGAAUAUUGGGCAAUGGGCGCAAGCCUGACCCAGCAACGCCGCGUGAAGGAAGAAGGCUUUCGGGUUGUAAACUUCUUUUCUCAGGGACGAAGGAAGUGACGGUACCUGAGGAACAAGCCACGGCUAACUACGUGUCAGCAGCCGCGGUAAUCUGAGCGGGCUGGCAAGGC